rnacentral:rRNA from 1 species
AGCAGCCGCGGUAAUUCCAGCUCCAAUAGCGUAUAUUAAAGUUGUUGCAGUUAAAAAGCUCGUAGUUGAACUUCGGGGUUUACCCAUUGGUCAGGCUUAAUUGUCUGCACUGGUGAGAUGAAUCUCUACCUUCUGAGGAACUUUCAUGCCAUUUAUUUGGUGUGAUGGGAAAUCAGGACUGUUACUUUGAAAAAAUUGAGUGUUUAAAGCAGGCUAACGUCUGAAUACAUUAGCAUGGAAUAAUGAAAUAGGACGGACUGAUUCUAUUUCGUUGGUUUCUAGGAUCACCGUAAUGAUUAAUAGGGAUAGUUGGGGGCAUUAGUAUUCAAUUGUCAGAGGUGAAAUUCUUGGAUUUA